UGAGUUUGUCCUAAGUCAAGGUUCUUAUAAGUUGACCAAGUUUAUAGAAAAAUAUAGCAGUAUUUACAGCACAAAAUAAAUAUAAGAUAGAAAUAUAUUCAUUGGUGAAUUUAAUGAAACUAAUUUAGUGUUGUAGAUGUUAAUACAUUUUGCUAUAAAUUUGGUCAAAAUUAAAGAGUUUUGACUUAGGACAACCCCAA
rnacentral:pre_miRNA from 1 species